rnacentral:rRNA from 1 species
CCAGACUCCUACGGGAGGCAGCAGUGGGGAAUAUUGCACAAUGGGGGAAACCCUGAUGCAGCAACGCCGCGUGAGUGAAGAAGUCAUUCGUGAUGUAAAGCUCUAUCAGCAGGGAAGAAAAUGACGGUACCUGAGUAAGAAGCCCCGGCUAACUACGUGCCAGCAGCCGCGGUAAUACGUAGGGGGCAAGCGUUAUCCGGAUUUACUGGGUGUAAAGGGAGCGUAGACGGCGGUGCAAGCCAGAUGUGAAAGCCCGGGGCUCAACCCCGGGACUGCAUUUGGAACUGUGCUGCUAGAGUGUCGGAGAGGCAGGCGGAAUUCCUAGUGUAGCGGUGAAAUGCGUAGAUAUCAGGAGGAACACCGGUGGCGAAGGCGGCCUGCUGGACUGCGACUGACGUUGAGGCCCGAAAGCGUGGGGAGCAAACAGGAUUAGAUACCCCAGUA